AUUUUAAACUUAUAGUACAAACAGUAAUAUGCAACAAAUACAUAGUGAAUGACAGUUGCAUAUAGAAUAUGAAACUUGGAAAACCUGGAUAGGUUACCUAUCCAGGAUGACGUUUCCAAGAGAAAUUCAGUAGAGAAUAUGUAUUAUUCACAAAUUGUGAAUAACAAGACAAUAACAGAAUUCAGUUUAUAUAGAAACUUGGACGAGAGUGAUCAUCCAAGUAAGUAUUCUCAAUAUAAAUCCUAUUGAGAAAAGUAAUGAUCACAUCAACAAAUGUGAAUAAAUGUUUAUAAAAUGGGACAUUUUACAUGUUCAAGGAUAAACGACUAAAACUAAUAAUUGUUAACUAACAAUUAAAUAAAGUUUUACCAAAUGAAAUCAUAAAUAUGGAAAUAAUUUGAGGAGUUACUUACAUGGGACGUGAUGUGGUAAUUAUAAUAAGGUCACGCGUACCAUGUGUUGAUCGCUUACUCUGGCCAAGUAAGUAGUGAACACAUGAUAGCAUGAGCUUCUUAUAAUGAGCGCAGUUAUGUCCGAUGUAGUAAGGUCAAGAUGAAUGAAAAUUUAAAGGAUCCUUAGGGUCAAGAAAUCUUAUGGGCAUACUCGUAUAAAUGGUUUUCGCGGGAACCAUAAAAACGACGUAUGGCGCACAUAGAAAUAAAUGACCCAAGGAAAUUCGUGACAUAAGUCAUUUCGGACGAAACAACCAUGGUAGACAAAAAGGGCAUUGUAAAACCAAAGUAUAAAUGACCCGCGGGGUCAUAGAAACAAAGGUAUUGCCCACAUGGGAAAAACGAUCAAAAACCAUGGUAGACAAAAAGGGCAUUGUAAAACCAAAGUAUAAAUGACCCGCGGGGUCAUAGAAACAAAGGUAUUGCCCACAUGGGAAAAACGAUCAAAGUCGUUGACUUUGGUCGUAGUAAAGAAAUGAUGAUGAUGAUGAUAAUCAUCAUUCAUAGUUUAUAAGACUGUCAAGGAUGGUCGAAUAAAGAAUAAAGGUUUGGUUGAAUAGAAGCGAUGGAUUUCGCUAAGACAACCAAACAAAUUAAAACGAAAUCUUAAUGUAUACCGGAAUGCUUGCACUAAUAAUGACUUCGGUAAAGUACCCGGUUGAUGGGUAAGGAUUUAAACACAUGCGUAAACCGAGAAACGGGAACACGAAUUUAAAGUCAAAAGACUCGGAUUAUGAGUUAUGACUGAAAGACCAUAAAAUUUCGCAAACAAAAAUUUUGAUAAUUAUAUUCAACUAUUCGAAGUCGAAUGGGUUGAAUAAAGAAUAAAGUUGAUUGUUUAUAAGUGAUGGAUUUCACAUUAAUAAGUCAAACAGGUUGAAUACAAUAUAACGCCGAAUGGCACAAAUGAGCGCUAGCCAGAUAAGGGUAGCGUUAAAUGCAAGAGAAUAAUGAGCCCGGUAAUGGGAUAUAACCAAAUAAGAAUAAAUUAUGGACUGUCAAUAUCCUGGUAGGGAUAAUUGACAAAAGUUAAAGAGAAGAUCCUAGAACUAAAACUUCGGUUUUAGUAAGAAAUAAUGUUUUUACAAACAUAGACUCUGAUAGGAAUUUAAAUAAUAAGUAUGAAAGAUACAAAUCUUGACACUGAUAGGUGCAAGACAAUAUAUUCGAAAAGUGAUAUUUUCGAAGAUGAAAAGGUUGAUAUAAAUUAAACAUGAUGUGACAUGAUCACGGUCAAGAGGUACAAUGUGAAGAAGAAUCACAUUAUAACCAAGCGAGCGGUAAAAAGAAACCGGACUAAUAAGUCUAGUUAGUGAAACCGGUUAAGGUCAAUAAUUCAAGUUAAGAAAUUUGGUUUGCUUGUAAGUGGUAAAUUCGGUAUAACUGAACCGAAUAAAUAAAUUUGAAAAUAAAAAGAUUUGUUGCUAAAAGUGAAAGAUUUCACUAAGGACCUUUAAACGGGUCAAAGUAACGGGUUCAUAAAGAAAUCCGAUAGUAUAUGAAAGCAUUGAAUAUCGCUAAGUUGAUUAAACUAGUGGAAAUAACGAGAUUACGUUAUUUCAAGUCGCAUCAUGUCAUAUAAGAUACGUAGAUGAUUAAUAACCAAAAGGAUAUUACCAUACUUUUCUGGUAAUACUAACAAUCGGUUAAAAUAUGAGAAAUGCUUAAUUGAUUAUCGAGAGCAAAUGCAUGGAGUGGAACUCGAUAAAUUAAGUAAGAAAAGGUUUCGGGGACGAAACCUCUUUAAGGGGGGUAGACUUGUAACACCCCGAAAACGAGUUUGGUAAUUAAACCCCGUUAAUACUAAAGACGGGGAAAGUACCGUUAGUGGUAAAAGUAAACUGUCAAAUAUUAGGAAUUUAUUUAAUAAUCCUAAUAUUUAUUUGAAGUGAAUAAAAAGCUUUUAAGAAAUAAAGUGAUAGAAGGCCCGAGUUAACGGGACCCGAAAUAAACUUAGUCAUAAAUAUUCUCGAACCCGCAAAGUUAACUAGGAAUAUUAAACCUAGUUAAUAAGUGGGGAAUAUUGUUAGAAAUAAGUAGGUUGUUCCCUACUUAAUUAACUAACCAAAUUAGAGGGGCCAAUAUUGUUAAAAUUGAAACUUAACUUUAAUUAAUUAAAUAAAACACACCAAACACCCCACAAGGAGGUGUCUGGUCGUACAAGAAGAACAGGGGGCGAUCCCCACACAUCAAAACCCUAAAUCUUCACCAAACUUGCAAAUUGAAGGCUCAAUCCAAGUCAAAAUCGAAAAUCAAGCAUAGAUUAUUGAUCCCCAUUGAAAGGGGAGUCAUAAGUUUGACUCUGACAAGCUAGGUAGGAGCUUGGAAAUGAACGGGUCAAAUGGAUACAAGUUCAAGUAUGAAGCUCGCAAGGAUGCAAGGAGUAGAUAUCCAAUGGAUACUCGCAUCGCUCUUAAUUAGCUAUUAUAAAGCAAGGUAUUAAACCGGGUUAGUAAGUUGAUCCGAGCCAGGUGAAUGUCGAGGGUCCCGGAUGAAGAUCGAGCAUCGAGCAAGAACCGAACACACAUUAAAUAAAGCUUCCGCAACGUUGUUUUGUCGUUAUUCUAAACGGUGAUUUAAAUCACAUUAUGUAUAUCACUUAAAUUGUAAAAGUUUUUAAUAAACCCGCAUUUUGUACAGUA